rnacentral:miRNA from 15 species
AGACAGACAGACAGUGCAGUCACCCAUAAAGUAGAAAGCACUACUAACAGCAAUGUAGGGUGUAGUGUUUCCUACUUUAUGGAUGAGUGUACUGUGGGCUUCGGAG